GUAGCCUAGUGGUUAGAGUGUAGGGACGGUAGGGUAGCCUAGUGGUUAGAGUGUAGGGACGGUAGGGUAGCCUAGUGGUUAGAGUGUAGGGACGGUAGGGUAGCCUAGUGGUUAGAGUGUAGGGACGGUAGGGUAGCCUAGUGGUUAGAGUGUAGGGACGGUAGGGUAGCCUAGUGGUUAGAGUGUAGGGACGGCAGGGUAGCCUAGUGGUUAGAGUGUAGGGACGGUAGGGUAGCCUAGUGGUUAGAGUGUAGGGACGGUAGGGUAGCCUAGUGGUUAGAGUGUAGGGACGGUAGGGUAGCCUAGUGGUUAGAGUGUAGGGACGGUAGGGUAGCCUAGUGGUUAGAGUGUAGAGGCGGCAGGUAGCCUAGUGGUUAGAGUGUAGGGACGGUAGGGUAGCCUAGUGGUUAGAG